rnacentral:rRNA from 1 species
CCCCUAGAUGUUCUGGGUCGCACGCGCGCUACACUGAACAGUUCAACAAGUCUUAACCUUGGCCGAUAGGUCUGGGUAAUCUUUGAACGCUGUUCGUGAUUGGGAUAGACCUUUGCAAUUAUGGGUCUUCAACGAGGAAUUCCUAGUAAACGCAAGUCAUCAGCUUGCAUUGAUUACGUCCCUGCCCUUUGUACACACCGCCCGUCGCACCUACCGAUUGAAUGGUCCGGUGAAAUCUCGGGACGGCGGCUUGGUCGCUUGCGUCCGACUGCUGAAACUUGAUUAAACCAUAUCAUUUAGAGGAAGGUGAAGUCGUAACA